GAUGAACGCUGACCGAAUGCUUAACACAUGCAAGUCUUUGGCGAAGCUGUGCUCGCACAGCCUAGCCAAGGCGGACGGGUGAGUAACGCGUAAGGAACUUGCCCUGCAGUCAGGGAUAACAGACGGAAACGACUGAUAAGACCUGGUAAAGUCAGGCGGACUCAUGUCCAGCCUGAUGAAAAGAGAUGCUGCAGGAGAGCCUUGCGUCCUAUUAGCUUGUUGGUGGGGUAACGGCCCACCAAGGCGAUGAUAGGUAGCCGGCCUGAGAGGGUGGACGGCCACAAGGGGACUGAGAUACGGCCCUUACUCCUACGGGAGGCAGCAGUGGGGAAUAUUGGACAAUGGGGGCAACCCUGAUCCAGCAAUUCUGCGUGCACGAUGAAGGUUUUCGGAUUGUAAAGUGCUUUCAGCAGGGAAGAAAAAAAUGACGGUACCUGCAGAAGAAGCGACGGCUAAAUACGUG
rnacentral:rRNA from 1 species